GGGGGCGAUCGGCUUCGACGUGGGUCGCGAACCCUCAAGUGCAUGCCGAGGGGCAGCUUACCUCGUAAAUCCAACUGCAAACCUUAUAGUUGCCAACGACGACAACUACGCCCUAGCUGCUUAAAAACCAGCCUAGUGCCUUCUGCCCGGUUCGUGCUUGUGCGUCCGGAUCCAGGAGUCAUCAUCGCAAGCUCGCGGAAUGGCA
rnacentral:tmRNA from 1 species